GGACGGUGCAACACUUGGUAAGUUGCCUAGUGACAAUGUGUUACAACAUUUGUCUGGUCAGCACUAGAUUAUAGGUUCAAGUCCUAUACCGUCCA
rnacentral:tRNA from 1 species